UCAAAGAUUAAGCCAUGCAUGUCUCAGUACAAGCCAAAUUAAGGUGAAACCGCGAAAGGCUCAUUAAAUCAGUUAUGGUUCCUUAGAUCGUACCCACAAUUACUUGGAUAACUGUGGUAAUUCUAGAGCUAAUACAUGCAAACAGAGCUCCGACCGGAGACGGAAGGAGUGCUUUUAUUAGAUCAAAACCAAUCGGUGGCGGGUUCGCGCUCGUUAUCGUACAACUUGGUGACUCUGAAUAACUUUACGCUGAUCGCACGGUCAUCGCACCGGCGACGCAUCUUUCAAAUGUCUGCCUUAUCAACUGUCGAUGGUAGGUUCUGCGCCUACCAUGGUUGUAACGGGUAACGGGGAAUCAGGGUUCGAUUCCGGAGAGGGAGCCUGAGAAACGGCUACCACAUCCAAGGAAGGCAGCAGGCGCGCAAAUUACCCACUCCCGGCACGGGGAGGUAGUGACGAAAAAUAACGAUACGGGACUCAUCCGAGGCCCCGUAAUCGGAAUGAGUACACUCUAAACCCUUUAACGAGGAUCAAUUGGAGGGCAAGUCUGGUGCCAGCAGCCGCGG
rnacentral:rRNA from 2 species